GAUGAAGAACGCAGCGAAAUGCGAUAAGUAAUGUGAAUUGCAGAAUUCAGUGAAUCAUCGAAUCUUUGAACGCACAUUGCGCCCGCCAGUAUUCUGGCGGGCAUGCCUGUUCGAGCGUCAUUUCAACCCUCAAGCCCCCGGGCUUGGUGUUGGGGAUCGGCGUGCCCUCGCGGCGCGCCGUCCCCUAAAUCUAGUGGCGGUCUCGCUGUAGCUUCCUCUGCGUAGUAGCAACACUCGCACUGGAUCGCAGCGCGGCCACGCCGUUAAACCCCCCACUUCUGACAGUUUGACCUCGGAUCAGGUAGGAAUACCCGCUGAACUUAAGCAUAUCAAUAAGCGGAGGA
rnacentral:misc_RNA from 1 species